AAGAAAUAUAUAUAUAUAUAUAUAUAUAUAUAUAUAUAUAUAUAUAUAUAUGAAAGAGGGAAGUACAAUAAGUGAUUCUAUUAAAAACUCUGAAGAGGAGGAAGAAAAGUUAGGGAAAAUUGCCAAGGAUGCUGCAGUAAUAGCACUCCUCCUGGAAGCCAGGAAUGGGGGAAAGACCACAGCAAGUGCUUCUGGCCCUGUGGUGUUUAACACUGGAAAUGGGAUUGAAGCCCUCAGGCUGAACUCUAGGCCUGUCACAGCAUGUUUUCCUUUGGAGUCCACGUGCUCCUAAAGGCACUUCCUCAGUGGGUUGCUAGGAGAUAAUUAUACUACAGAACUUUGAGAAUCCAAAGCAGAUGGGUGGUAAAGUAGAGAUGCCGUCAUCUUUGUGAGUUUGCUCUAAUAUCCUUAGGAUUCAAAAGGAGACAGAAACAAAAAGCAUCAUUAUUAGAAUGGAAAAUUUAGAAAUGUGAGCUUCGCAGUUUAACCAAGUAUCUCAUCUCAGCAUAACGAAACAAUUAAGUGAAGGCCAUUCCCUCAAGCCCUCAGAGUAACCCAGCAAAUGAUAAAGAAGACAGGAAGUAGAGGCCCCUGUCAAGUGAAGCAACGUCUGAUUUUAAUCAAGAAAUUGAGGAUAAGUAUAUCUUUGGAGAGAUUUUAUCAUCCUGCAAAUGAUCUCUUUUAAAUUUGUGGUAUAUGCUGGGCUGGCACUUCUUGGAAAAAAAUACUCAGACCAAACAAAAAACUUGAUGACAGGAGGGGCAGAUGGAGUCCAGCUUACCCAGAGAGCAAGCCUGCCAUUUAAAUUUAUUUUUAAAACAUAUGCACUAGUUGUGCUAGGUAUAUAUCUUUUUGCCUCUUUCCCCGGAUUAACAUUCUACCCUUUUUCAUCCUGCUCUGUGUUUUGGAAAAUUCGUACAUAAGGGCUUCUGCAAUGGUUCCCUUUCCCUCUAACAUCCUCUUGAGUUUGGCCAAAGGAAAACACUAGUGGGAGAUUUGGAAGUCAUUGUUAGAUGAUAUUCUCUGUAUAGUGCUCAGUUUGGGUUCUCAUGACUGUUCUCUGUCCUCUGGCCUAGGGGGAGAAACAGCUCCUUGUUGGUGGUGGUCCCAGGAAACAGCAGCAGCCCUCAUUGUCUUCCUAAAGCCUCACCCUAUAUAUUUAAAGAAAAAAUAUUAAAAUGAGUAGUUAAUAUGUCAAACUCAUAUGGUGGGAAAUAAGACAACCUUUCCUGGCUGAUAUGCUAAUCACAUGAAAUCAUAAACUCUGAAGCUUAAUGUUCUUUUCACUACAGAAAGGUACUACUAUUUGGUAUAUUUAUGAAUCAUAUAUUCAUGUUGUUUCAACUAUUGAAAAGAACUAAUAAUCAUUCUGCCAAAGAUAGCUGCUUAUUUGACCUUAAUUAUUGUAUAUCUGUCCCACCUGUGAUCUCAGGGGAUCUUGUCAGAGUAUUUUAAAUGCAUAACUCCACUUGAAAUAAAUAAGUACUUGGGGAGAAAAUUAGAGAUAAU
rnacentral:lncRNA from 1 species